rnacentral:rRNA from 1 species
AUGCAUAGUUUCAUUGCUGGGCUAAACCCUUACAUCCAAAGUCACCUGGAAUGUUUAGAACCUACGGACAUGAACAAAGCUAUGUGGUUAGCCAGACGAAUUGAAAAGUCCUGUCCCCCUGCCAUCACUCAGAAGCCUUAUGUGCCCAACUACAGAAGAGGAACUACAGGAGAAAUAUCUAAACCUGUCCUUCCUGCCAGCACAUCUCCUGCUGCUGUUAUACAACAAGCUAGAGAAAAAGGCAUUUGUUAUAAAUGCAGAGAACCAUGGUUCUCAGGGCACAAGCAAGUGUGCAAGAUGUCACCAAAAGCACAAGUUCAGGCACUGCAAGAACAAGGAGAAAACCCUGAAAUUAUCUACAUAGUAGAUGCAGAGGAGCUACAUUCAGAUGGGGAUGAAGAACCUCCUGAUAACCAAUAA